rnacentral:lncRNA from 1 species
ACACGAAGACUGUCCUCCAAAAGCCAUCGUGUCCGCCUGAGUGCGGGGAGUCGUGAUAAAGUUCCAAGAUUCGAGGCACCAUUGUUUCGGGGACUGCGAACUUUCCGUUGAGGAACUGGAGUUCUUCAGUUCCCUCCCACAACAGGUUUGCGUUGAUGUUUUCUUGAUCAGGAAUGACCGCAAGUCUCGAAAGUGCAUCUGCAUCCUUUAGGUGCUCCCCAGGCCUGUGAUGGACCACGAAUGUAAACUGCUGGAGUUCGGCCACCCACCUAGCGAUCUUUCCUCUAGGCUCUGCGAGGUUAAGGAUGUAAGUCAAGGCUUGAUGAUCCGU